rnacentral:tRNA from 3 species
GGCGGCAUAGCCAAGCGGUAAGGCAAGGGACUGCAACUCCCUUAUCACCGGUUCGAUUCCGGUUGCCGCCUCCA